GUGGGGAAUAUUGGACAAUGGGCGAAAGCCUGAUCCAGCCAUGCCGCGUGUGUGAAGAAGGUCUUCGGAUUGUAAAGCACUUUAAGUUGGGAGGAAGGGCAGUAAGUUAAUACCUUGCUGUUUUGACGUUACCAACAGAAUAAGCACCGGCUAACUUCGUGCCAGCAGCCGCGGUAAUACGAAGGGUGCAAGCGUUAAUCGGAAUUACUGGGUGUAAAGCGCGCGUAGGUGGUUCAGCAAGUUUGAGGUGAAAUCCCCGGGCUCAACCUGGGAACUGCCUCCAAAACUGCAUGACUAGAGUACGGUAGAGGGUAGUGGAAUUUCCUGUGUAGCGGUGAAAUGCGUAGAUAUAGGAAGGAACACCAGUGGCGAAGGCGACUACCUGGACUGAUACUGACACUGAGGUGCGAAAGCGUGGGGAGCAAACAGGAUUAGAUACCCGAGUAGUCC
rnacentral:rRNA from 1 species